CGAAGGCAGCUGACGAGUCCUUAACUGACGCUAAUGCUCGAAAGUGCGGGUAUCGAACAGGAUUAGAUACCCUGGUAGUCCGCACGGUAAACGAUGGAUGCCCGCUGUUGGCGAUACAGUGUCAGCGGCCAAGCGAAAGCGUUAAGCAUCCCACCUGGGGAGUACGCCGGCAACGGUGAAACUCAAAGGAAUUGACGGGGGCCCGCACAAGCGGAGGAACAUGUGGUUUAAUUCGAUGAUACGCGAGGAACCUUACCCGGGCUUGAACUGCAGGAGAACGAUUCAGAGAUGAUGAGGUCCUUCGGGACUCCUGUGGAGGUGCUGCAUGGUUGUCGUCAGCUCGUGCCGUGAGGUGUCGGCUUAAGUGCCAUAACGAGCGCAACCCCUUUCUUCAGUUGCCAUCAGGUUAUGCUGGGCACUCUGGAGACACUGCCACCGUAAGGUGUGAGGAAGGUGGGGAUGACGUCAAAUCAGCACGGCCCUUACGUCCGGGGCUACACACGUGGAACAAUGGGUGGUACAGAGAGCGGGAACGUGCAAAGUCAGCCGAAUCAUGAAAGCCAUCCUCAGUUCGGAAGGGGUAUGCAACCCGACCCCAGAA
rnacentral:rRNA from 1 species